GUGUGCGAUCAUAUUAGUACGUAUGCAUCGGAUCCCAUUGAAACUCUGAAGUUAAGCAUCCUUGGGAGCGAAAGGUACUAGGACGAGCUUUGUCGUAGGACUUCCACAGACACAGGCA
rnacentral:rRNA from 1 species